UGCCAAACCUCAGACUUUCUUCACACUUGAGCUCCAGAAACUUUACAGAGGAGGUUCUGUUCAUUGAUGAAUUUUGUGCUCACAAUUGAGAACCAACUAUGAAAGAUUUCCUUUUCCUUUUUCUUUCAGAUCAUUUCCCUUAUGGUUUUUUUUUUAAUUUUGUUUCAAAUUCUCUUCGUAAACAAGAUGAGCAGAAAAUAACUUCAUCGAGAGGCCGCCACUCUAUAAUUUCUUCACAACAAGGGAGAAGGCAGGACCUGCAUGGAAUCAGAGUCCUAAGUUCUUUAUUGCCACCUCUUCCACAGAAAGUUGGGGGAAGUUAGAGCAAUAUUUGUAGGUUUUAUCAUCAUCCUUGGGGGAACAGGGCUUUGGUUUCUAUGACCUACAUCAGGCCAGAGGGAUGGCACUUUCUAUAACUUGCCUUGGAGAGGAGAGAGGAACUAGGGGCAGGUGGGCAGAAGGCAGUCAGAGAGAAACUGCUCUUGAGGCUGCUUCCAAGGCCCACACUUUGAGGAAUCAUUCUCUAGGCCCAGCAGUGUGGUGAUGCCUCCUCAACGUGUCACAUUUUCAAUUUAUGGUGCAUUUAUCAUGAUGUAAUCCUACUGUAAGUCAGAGCCCCUGCACUUGUAUGUGCAGCCUUCUCAUGUGUACAAAUGGGCUUUUAAAUUGUUCAGAAAUGUCAUCCCAGGGAAGAAAGCUCGUCAGCAAAUCCACAGUCACAUCCUCUACCUUCCUAGCACUCAGUGUGUCCCUAUUUUAAUCUCUUACUGUCGUUUUUUUUAUUCAAUCUAGUAAAAAGAUGUGUUUUGCCUUUACUGCUGUCUUAUUAUGGAGCAAUUUUCC
rnacentral:lncRNA from 1 species